UGAGACCUGAGUCUGGGAACCGCCCCUGGUGGGCAGAGCUGGUCUUUGCCCCUUUCAUAAGCUCAGGUGUGGGCAAUUAGGUAUUCCUCUAGCAAACCUGAAGCUGCGAGUGUUUGGUCCAAGCUGGGCAAGUUGGUGUUCUUAAUUCCUUUCCAUUCAAGCUUGAUGUGUGUCCCCCUAAACUUCUGUUAAAAUGGUGGAAAACAUUGCUUUCCUGUGAGAGCAGUGUAAUGGACUUCACCGCUACUGACCUACAUUUAUUAGGAGUACCGAGCUGCUGCUUUGCCAAGUGGAUUUCUGGCUGCAGGCAAAGGACGUGACACAUCAGUAUGUUUUGAUUUGUUUUAAACUGGUGUAAUUCGACAGACUGUGACUGCUGUGGCUGUCGAAUUUGUUUGUUUCUUGUUUUAUUUUUCUGUAUCACGGGCAAUCAUACAGUUUUAUUGUUUUUAAUAAGGUAAAGUUUUUAUUUGUUUUUAGGUGCGGCU